AUGUAGCUCAUUGGUAGAGCAUUUUCCUACCAAGUGGAGGCCCUGGGUUCAAACCCUAGCAU
rnacentral:tRNA from 1 species